UACGAAGGGGGCUAGCGUUGCUCGGAAUCACUGGGCGUAAAGGGUGCGUAGGCGGGUUUUUAAGUCAGGGGGGAAAUCCUGGAGCUCAACUCCAGAACUGCCUUUGAUACUGAAGAUCUUGAGUCCGGGAGAGGUGGGUGGAACUGCGAGUGUAGAGGUGAAAUUUGUAGAUAUUCGCAAGAACACCAGUGGCGAAGGCGGCUCACUGGCCCGAUACUGACGCUGAGGCACGAAAGCGUGGGGAGCAAACAGG
rnacentral:rRNA from 1 species